GACGAACGCUGGCGGCGUGCUUAACACAUGCAAGUCGAACGAAGAGCGUAUACCGUUUCUUUCUACCCCAUUUACUGGCGAUCGGGUGAGUAACGCGUACUCAACCUUACCCUCCGUGGUGGCUGACAGUAGCUAAUGACAGCGAAAACUACAACCGCAUUAUUCUGGGUAUCGCGGGUAAAUUAAUGGAAGGCUCUAAUUGUAACACUACACGAUAGGCGGGGGUUGCGUUAGCUUAGCUAGUAGGAGGGGUAACGGCUCACCGAGGCGAUGAUACAUAGCCGACCUGAGAGGAUGAACGGCCACAUUGGGACUGAGACACGGCCCAGACUCCUACGGGAGGCAGCAGUAGGGAAUCUUCGGCAAUGGACGAAAGUCUGACCGAGCAACGCCGCGUGAGUGAUGACGGUCUUCGGGUCGUAAAGCUCUGCUAUUCGAGACGAAAGGCCGUGUGACUAGUAAGUAGAAAGUGUGACGGUACCGGAACAGAAAGCCACGGCUAACUACGUG
rnacentral:rRNA from 1 species